GCAAACUUGGUCAUUUAGAGGAAGUAAAAGUCGUAACAAGGUUUCCGUAGGUGAACCUGCGGAAGGAUCAUUACCGAGUUAGGGUGUCUCUUCUCGAGCGCCCGACCUCCCAACCCUUUGUCUACCAAACCUCAUGUUGCUUCGGCAGGCCCGCCAAGGGGGGCCCGUCAGCCUCUCCGCUGGCGGAUUCUCCUCCCUGGCCGCCGGGGGUCCUAGGACCCCGGGCCCGCGCCUGUCGACGGCCUCACACAAAUUCUUUGUUUAACAAACGUGUCGUCUGAGUUUUUACAAACAAUAAAAACAAAAACUUUCAACAACGGAUCUCUUGGUUCUGGCAUCGAUGAAGAACGCAGC
rnacentral:misc_RNA from 1 species